UUCAUUCCUUUGCUGCUAUUUGAUGGUAGUCUCUGGUUUUUGUUUACUUUCAUUCUUUAUUUGACCUACACUUGCUUGUGCCUGCCUCAAAUUUUGCUUAGAUUUGAUUGGAAGAGCUUGGUUCCAGGGAGAUUCCGAUGGUUGUAGGUGUUCUUUAUGUUGUUUUGGACUUCAAUUUUGGUUGUUGAUGUUCUCGGCUUUGCAUAUGAAGGCCUUUCGGUGGUUGGUGCUUUUGGGAAUUGGAUAUUGAAGGUCUUAUAUCACUCUGACUUAAUUAGUAAUUAGUUGAUUAUCCCCUUUGUUGUGGAGUUUCGUUUUUGGAAAUUGGAAUUAAAUAAUUGAACGGUCUAUUAGUGCCAAAAAAAAUAAAAAGAAAAGAAAAAAAGGCUUAAUAGAUGUAGUUGUGGUUUUUAAGGCUCAUUAUCAUUCGUAGCUUCUAUUUUUCACCUUCCUGGCCUGCGUUUAAUUCCUGUGAAAUACGUUGAAUUCCCACUCAAAUUGGGGAAGUAUUCUGAACCUUUGUUGAGCACCAUUGUCUCUUCUUGGAGACCUAAAUAGCAAUGGACAGAAGAUAUAGAUUACAUGAUUGGACAAUGCCUCCAGCAACGACAUGUCAAUAAAAAGGGUUAGUGCUGCUUGAUGCUUUGCAAAUAAGCUGUUUUCUCAACUGUUGAGAGGAGGCAUUACAUGGAAAGGGCAGCUGUGGUGGUGACUCACAGUUGUUGAAGUCAUUCAGGUGAAGAUUUGCUUAAUGUAAUAUUGCAUCUUGUCGUUUGGGGUAUGUGUUAAAAAAUGUAACAUGUAAAUACGUAGCUGAAAAACAGUGAGCAUUUGGAGAUUUUUCCCGUGGAAGAAACAUGGAUGUUCGACUCGUUUGAAUUACCGAUUAGAAACAGAAUCACACUUUUAAAAAUCGAUUAUGAGUCACAAUCUAAAGGACCAUGCUAUUGGUAUUUCUUGAGCUACACCUUGAAUUACAUAAUGCAUCAUAAAUGAUAAAAAUAUUCCUCGCACCUCACCGCCUUGGGUGAGGGAUAUUUUAAUCAUGUACCUCACAAUCUCACUUCAUCGCAUAGGGUAAGGAGUAUUUUAGAUAUUUUAGCUACAUUAUGUAGUUCAAGGUGUAACCCAUGAUAUAUCAAUAGCAUUUUUACAACCUAAAAGCUAAUACAGAAAAAGACCUGAGAACUUUUUUGUAUUUCGUUUUGAGAGUCAUAUAAUUCGCCUUCAUCUAUAUAUAUAUAUAUAUAUAUGUACUAAAUAUAUACAAAUAACUUCCAAUCUCCCCACUUCUCCAUUUGCAGAAAGUAGAAGUUGAGGGUGGUUUCUACAACCCAUGAGUCCUUAUAGGCGGGUCUGCAGACUACAAUGUUUAACUCGGAUCCAUGACCUGGAUCCGUACGUAUCCAUGUUACUAACAGUAUGGCAUUUAGAAGAAUAAUUGAUAUUCUGAUAAACAUUUCCUUACAUAUGUAGUGUAUAAAUAAGUCGACAUGAUUAAUGGCAUAAAGGUGAUAAAUGUACAUAAACAUAUCUAAGAUAUAUAUGCACACUUUCUUGCAGCAAGGAGACUAUGAAGGGAAUCCUAAUGCUAUGACAUGAAAAGUUCAAUUCCAUCUGCCAUGAUGGGAAUGCAUUAGGAUUUUUUUCUAAUUUGGUUUCAUUUGUUUUCACAGUAAUGUUUUUGACCGGUAGAUUUUAGCUUUUAUUUAGUGUUGUGGAUUGGUUGUUGGUAUAUGGGAACUUAGGUUAUUGGAAGUACAAUUUCAAUCCUGCUCUGUCCUGUCCAUAUGAAAAUAAGUUUGUGACCUCCCAUAUUUGGGCUAUCUUAGUCUCACUCCAAAUUCCAGAUUCUUAUAUCCAUGGUAAGGUUUUGAGAAGUUGGAUUUCUGUGCCAAUAUCAUGAAGCUUGAAAUCUUAUCUACUUUUGAUCUAUUAAAUGUAUUGAAUGAUUUAAGUCAGAUUACUGCAUAGCAUGGGUUGGGAGUUUUGUCGAGUGAUUUUGGUAUGUUCUUCUAUUUUCUAGUUUAUUUACUCUUGUGAAGCUAAUUUAUGUCAUCCAAUUCAUUGUAGUUUUCUUGGAAACAAAAAUGUAUUCUAUAAUUUAAGUCCGAUUAUUGCAUAGCAUGGGUAGGGGGAAAUGUCGAGUGGCUUUGGUUUGUUCAUCUAUUGGCUACUUUAUUUACUCUUGUGAAGCUAGAUGUUAAAUUGGUUAUUUUUUAUUCUUAAUUUAUGUCAUCUAAUUCAUUCUGUUUUUCUUGUAUUAGUUUUUUUAGAAAUAGAAAUAAAAUAUAAAUACAAUAGGGAAUGGAAACAAAAAAUGACAUUUUUCAAAAAAGUAAGAAUAGGUAUGUGAAAAAAAUCUAUAAAUUAAAAAAUAUAGGAGUCUUUUUUUAAAUAUAAUUUUUAAUAUAAAAAUUAUAAAAAAUAAUUAUUUAAUCAAAUAUAAACAUAAGUUUCAUCAUCUAUCCAGAUAAAGAUAACUGCAAAUUCUAUUAUCUAUGAAUCAUAACUUAAUAAUUAAAAAAAUAAAAAAAAAUAAAAAAAAUCAAAUAUAAUACAAUUUAAGAAAGUUCCUCCACUUCAUUAUCAUUCUCUAACAGCAGUAGCUAAAUAUGGGAAACACAUUUCAAAAUAGAAACGUGUUUUUAAUUUUUUCAAAAUUUUAAAAACGACUUUAAAAUGUUUUUAAAAUUAUUGAAGCAGUCUUGAAUCAUAGUUUUAGAGUUUCUUGAAAUUUCGGAGUACGAACAUUUUGAAAACAUCAAAACAGUGCAUCUCAUGGGUAGUUUCUCUUCUAAUAAUGUAGUCAAAAUUGCAUUAAGGGGUUGUUUCACUUUGGCUUCUACAAUGCUAUAAAAAGAAAUUGAUUUUUCUAUAUUCUUUUCUUUCCUUUCUUUCUUUUACGUGUCAAAAGCAUGUGGUUAUGCAUCGGGAUCUAAAGCCUGAGAACGUUCUGUUUGCAGACCAGAAGGAACAGGCACCUAUGAAAGCAAUUGAUUUUGGGCUGUCAGUCUUCUUUAAGCCUAGUGUGAGAUUUCUUGAGAUUGUAGGAAGUCCAUACUACAUGGCUCCUGAGGUGCUGAAACGAAACUAUAGUCCAGAAAUAGAUGUCUGGAGUGUUGGAGUAAUCAUUUGUAUCUCUUACUUUGUGGCUUCCCACCUUUUUGGGCAGGAAGGGCAUGUAUAAGUUAUGCGUUUGCCAUAAUGAUGAAGGCUGGCACAGAUUGGAGAAAAGCAUCGAGGCAGUACUCAGGAGAGCGGUACACAACAGCUUCAGCUUGUAACAACAUAUUAUUGCAGAAAAGGUGAGUUCUAAUUGGAGAAGUCUCUUGAUGUUGUAGCUAGGCUCCAUCAACCUGACCACAAAAGUCACAUUGUCUCCGUCUCUCUCCUUGUUUUCUUCCAUUGACAAAAUCAUUAGGUUUAAUCUCUUUCCCCUGGUUGCUCCUUUCAUUUUCCAUUUUUUAUUUCAUUUAAAGUUGUGUGGAAGUGCUAGACUUCACAUUUUAUUUUUGACCUAAUGCGUCCCAUUUUAUUUUGCCAUCACUUGCUUGUACUCUGCUAAGAGGUUUUGUUAAAUCUGUUCUUUUGGCUGAGCAUCCUGUUUGAGUCUCUUAGGGGCUUUAUUGUAGGUAGGCUUUGUCGCGGCUUUGAUUUUACUCUUAGAUUUUGUUACUGUUGGCUAUUGACUCUGGUAUUUGAUAAAGCUUAUGGCACCAUUUAUUUAAGAUAAAUGUUUAAUUUAAAUAUGUAGAUAGAAGGUGAAUGUAGGUCAAUUCUUAUCUUAUUCGGAGUCCAUGAUGAGAGAAUCUUAUGGGGUUAUUAUAAAAAAAAUGAUAGGUUCCCUUUUCACUUUACAACAAUGGUCAUAUCUGACUGGUCCUCUUCAUGCCAUGAUAAUUAGGGUUAGAAAUGAGAGUAAGAUCUAGUCCAUUGCAGGUUAUUAUUCAUAGUCUUAAAAGAUAUUUAGUUUUUAGUUAUCAAUGACAAUACAUUAAACAUGUAAGUAACUCUUAUUAAUUUUGAAGUUAUAGUAUUCAUGUAUGGUCACUUCGAUUUAUCUUACAUGGUUAUCACAUGAUGGUCAGAAGCUAAAGAUACAAAUAAAAUAUUGAAUCCAAAUGUAAAUGUAUCCAAACCAAAUAUUGUGAUCUGUACAUUCAAACCCCAAGAUGCAAUACUUUUUUUUUUUUUCCAUGGGUUAGUGUGUGAAG